rnacentral:rRNA from 1 species
GCGAGUGAAGCGGCAACAGCUCAAAUUUGAAAGCUGGCUCCGGCCCGCAUUGUAAUUUGCAGAGGAUGCUUUUGGUGAGGUGCCUUCCGAGUUCCCUGGAACGGGACGCCACAGAGGGUGAGAGCCCCGUAUGGAUGGACACCAAACCUGUGUAAAGCUCCUUCAACGAGUCGAGUAGUUUGGGAAUGCUGCUCAAAAUGGGAGGUAAAUCUCUUCUAAAGCUAAAUACCGGCCAGAGACCGAUAGCGCACAAGUAGAGUGAUCGAAAGAUGAAAAGCACCUUGAAAAGGGGGUUAAACAGUACGUGAAAUUGUUGAAAGGGAAGCGUUUGUGACCAGACUUGCGCCGGGCAGCUCAUCAGGGGUUCUCCCCUGUGCACUCUGCCCGGCUCAGGCCAGCAUCGAUUCUCGUGGGAGGAUAAGAACGGUAGGAAUGUGGCCCCCUCUCGGGGGGGUGUUAUAGCCUGCCGUACGAUACUCCCGUGGGGAUCGAGGUUCGCGCUCCGCAAGGAUGCUGGC